rnacentral:rRNA from 1 species
UACAGAGGUCUCAAGCGUUGUUCGGAUUCAUUGGGCGUAAAGGGUGUGUAGGUGGCGCGCUAAGUCGGGUGUGAAAUUUCGGAGCUUAACUCCGAAACUGCAUUCGAUACUGCGGUGCUUUGAGGACUGGAGAGGAGACUGGAAUUCAUGGUGUAGCAGUGAAAUGCGUAGAGAUCAUGAGGAAGACCAGUGGCGAAAGGCGGGGUCUCUGGACAGUUCCUGACACUGAGGCACGAAGGCCAGGGGAGCAAACGGGG